rnacentral:lncRNA from 1 species
GCCACUUGAGGUAACAGAGUAACUGGUAGCAGUAGUAAACUGAUAUUACUCGAGUGGGAUGAGACACACACUUUGCUAGUGCAUGUCACAGAGCUUUGCUGAUAGCAAAGGAAUAUUGAGACUCAGAAUCGUAGAUUCAGCUCCGAGUUCUAGAGGGGAGUGUGCUCUCCAUUUGAUCCUGUCCAUCCCACAAGUCUGAUCCUUUCUAACCUUAUCUUCCCCAGCCUGUGCCUGUCUUAGCCUCUCCCUGCUUCUCGCUGGCUCCUGGCUCCACAUCACCACAUGAACCACUUUGUACAAGGUGAUGUCUUCGAACGUGGUAAAGGGCCUCUAUCUGCAAGCUGGCAUUAAGAUACCAGCAGCUUUAGAUACCACUGUGAUGGGCAACCUUGAAAUACCAAGAGCGGCAAGCAGCAUACCACAUCUUCAUUUUUAGCUCUUUUCCAUACUCUGCUCUGUUUCCCUGGAGAGGAACGAGGCCCAGAAUUCAAGCCAGUCUUCCUAAGUGAGGGACCCGCUCAAAACUGCUCACUGAUGGACAGUAGGUCUUGCCUGUCACUCUUGCUGUUAUGGCAGGAGGUAUUGCAAUGGUGACCAAGCUAUGUCCAGGUUAUGCCUUUCUUCAGAUACUAAGGACUGCAGGCUUCGAGCUGCGCUGUUUGGAAGAAGCAACGUCGUCGUCUCUCACAGCUACGACGCGGCACUGCUCUCAGCAUAUCCUGCUUUUUCCCCCCAUUUACCUGGGCGGCUUCUGCUGUCUCUGUUGCUGCUGCUGGGGCUGCUGCAGUUUCGCUGCCUGUGCUUCACCCUGGCAUGUCUGAGUCGGGAAUCACUCGUCUGCACGCUGCUAAGGAAGAGCAGCGAUGGAACUCUGGCCACAUUUUUUUUUUCUGUUGGUGCUGGAAGAGAAGGGUUGUGA